rnacentral:rRNA from 1 species
UACGUAGGUGGCAAGCGAUACUCGGAAUCACUAGGCGUAAAGCGCAGGUAGGCGGUUUUGAUAAGUCUGUUGUGAAAGCUCCCGGCUUAACUGGGAGAGGUCAACGGAAACUGUCAGGCUAGAGUGUGGUAGAGGUAGCUGGAAUUCCCGGUGUAGCGGUGAAAUGCGUAGAUAUCGGGAGGAAUACCUAUGGCGAAAGCAGGCUACUGGACCAAUCACUGACGCUGAUCUGCGAAAGCUAGGGGAGCAAACAGG